rnacentral:rRNA from 1 species
GUAAGCCUGCGAAGGUGACCUGUGAGGGUUGCUGGAGGUAUCAGAAGUGCGAAUGCUGACAUAAGUAACGAUAAAGCGGGUGAAAAGCCCGCUCGCCGGAAGACCAAGGGUUCCUGUCCAACGUUAAUCGGGGCAGGGUGAGUCGACCCCUAAGGCGAGGCCGAAAGGCGUAGUCGAUGGGAAACAGGUUAAUAUUCCUGUACUUGGUGUUACUGCGAAGGGGGGACGGAGAAGGCUAUGUUAGCCGGGCGACGGUUGUCCCGGUUUAAGCAUGUAGGCUGGUUAUCCAGGCAAAUCCGGAUAAUCAAGGCUGAGGUGUGAUGACGAGGCACUACGGUGCUGAAGUAACAAAUGCCCUGCUUCCAGGAAAAGCCUCUAAGCAUCAGGUAACAUCAAAUCGUACCCCAAACCGACACAGGUGGUCAGGUAGAGAAUACCAAGGCGCUUGAGAGAACUCGGGUGAAGGAACUAGGCAAAAUGGUGCCGUAACUUCGGGAGAAGGCACGCUGGUGUGUAGGUGAAGCCCCUGCGGGUGGAGCUGAGACCAGUCGAAGAUACCAGCUGGCUGCAACUGUUUAUUAAAAACACAGCACUGUGCAAACACGAAAGUGGACGUAUACGGUGUGACGCCUGCCCGGUGCCGGAAGGUUAAUUGAUGGGGUUAUCCGUAAGGAGAAGCUCUUGAUCGAAGCCCCGGUAAACGGCGGCCGUAACUAUAACGGUCCUAAGGUAGCGAAAUUCCUUGUCGGGUAAGUUCCGACCUGCACGAAUGGCGUAAUGAUGGCCAGGCUGUCUCCACCCGAGACUCAGUGAAAUUGAACUCGCUGUGAAGAUGCAGUGUACCCGCGGCAAGACGGAAAGACCCCGUGAACCUUUACUAUAGCUUGACACUGAACAUUGAGCCUUGAUGUGUAGGAUAGGUGGGAGGCUUUGAAGCGUGGACGCCAGUCUGCGUGGAGCCAACCUUGAAAUACCACCCUUUAAUGUUUGAUGUUCUAACGUUGGCCCCUUACCGGGGUUGCGGACAGUGUCUGGUGGGUAGUUUGACUGGGGCGGUCUCCUCCCAAAGCGUAACGGAGGAGCACGAAGGUUAGCUAAUCCUGGUCGGACAUCAGGAGGUUAGUGCAAUGGCAUAAGCUAGCUUGACUGCGAGCGUGACGGCGCGAGCAGGUGCGAAAGCAGGUCAUAGUGAUCCGGUGGUUCUGAAUGGAAGGGCCAUCGCUCAACGGAUAAAAGGUACUCCGGGGAUAACAGGCUGAUACCGCCCAAGAGUUCAUAUCGACGGCGGUGUUUGGCACCUCGAUGUCGGCUCAUCACAUCCUGGGGCUGAAGUAGGUCCCAAGGGUAUGGCUGUUCGCCAUUUAAAGUGGUACGCGAGCUGGGUUUAGAACGUCGUGAGACAGUUCGGUCCCUAUCUGCCGUGGGCGCUGGAGAAUUGAGGGGGGCUGCUCCUAGUACGAGAGGACCGGAGUGGACGCAUCACUGGUGUUCGGGUUGUCAUGCCAAUGGCACUGCCCGGUAGCUAAAUGCGGAAGAGAUAAGUGCUGAAAGCAUCUAAGCACGAAACUUGCCCCGAGAUGAGUUCUCCCUGAGACUUUAAGUCUCCUGAAGGAACGUUGAAGACGACGACGUUGAUAGGCCGGGUGUGUAAGCGCAGCGAUGCGUUGAGCUAACCGGUACUAAUGAACCGUGAGGCUUAACCUU